UGGGGGUAUAGCAGAUCCCCCGCUGUUUGCAAGACGCCUUGCGUCCAAAUUCUGC
rnacentral:ncRNA from 1 species